rnacentral:lncRNA from 1 species
CGUGGGGUAUGUGAGCAUGCUCACUAAGGUUCUUUAAUUAGUGUAUGUUAUGAUUGUAGGGUGUACAUGUCGGCUUUGCAGGCUUAACCAGACAUUGAUCCAGUCAUGGUAUAUUUGACAAUGUUAAGUUUUUGUGGUUAGGGCUAUUUCUCAAAUUCUAUGAACAAUAAGUCCAUUACAUUUGAUGUUUGUUAGGUGUACAUGUCCAUCUGUCCAUGACCUCAUGUUCAUGGUUCAUUGAACACUAAUUAGUUUUUGUUGUGUGGUCCAUUUCUA